rnacentral:tRNA from 1 species
GGGUCUGUAGCUCAGGUGGUUAGAGCGCACCCCUGAUAAGGGUGAGGUCGGUGGUUCAAGUCCAUCAGACCCACCA